rnacentral:piRNA from 1 species
UGACUUUGGUAACGGGGAUAUCCUGUCGA